rnacentral:rRNA from 1 species
UGCAGAAUCCCGUGAACCAUCGAGUUUUUGAACGCAAGUUGCGCCCGAAGCCAUUAGGCCGAGGGCACGCCUGCCUGGGCGUCACGC